AUUGAGCGCUGGCGGCAUGCCUUACACAUGCAAGUCGAACGGCAGCACGGGAGCAAUCCUGGUGGCGAGUGGCGAACGGGUGAGUAAUACAUCGGAACGUGCCCAAUCGUGGGGGAUAACGCAGCGAAAGCUGUGCUAAUACCGCAUACGAUCUACGGAUGAAAGCAGGGGAUCGCAAGACCUUGCGCGAAUGGAGCGGC
rnacentral:rRNA from 1 species